rnacentral:rRNA from 1 species
UACGAAGGGGCUAGCGUUGCUCGGAAUCACUGGGCGUAAAGCGCACGUAGGCGGCUUCUUAAGUCAGGGUGAAAUCCUGGAGCUCAACUCCAGACUGCCUUUGAUACUGGGAAGCUUGGAGUCCGGGAGAGGUGAGUGGAACUGCGAGUGGUAGAGGUGAAAUGACGUAGAUAUCUGGAGGAAUACCGGUGGCGAAGGCGGCAUCCUGGACCGACAUUGACGCUGAACGGCGAAAGCUAGGGAGCGAAACGGG